AGUUAGCCUGUUGCGUUAGGGAUAGAAGCGGCAUCCUUUUUUUGAGGUACGAUAAAAAAGAUAGAGCGUAUAGCCCGACCCGAU
rnacentral:sRNA from 1 species